rnacentral:lncRNA from 1 species
CUCAUCAUCAGAAUAUAUUGGAUAAACCAAUAACAGUUUGUCUGGCAGCAACAGUUGACGAAGGAUCAACAUCAUCAAGUUGGAAAUGUGGAAAUAAUUUAUUGCCAUCUUUAGUUACUACGGAGAUUGGUAGCCAGUGUCUUUCCAGCCAAAUGAUUCAUGACAACCAUUGUCCAGUUAGGCUACCAGAUCUCUCAUCAACCAAGAUACAAAUGCAGAGAAGCCCUGUUACCUCCUCUUCUAAGGUCGCUCAAUUAUGCACCACCAACAAAAAACUCUG